rnacentral:rRNA from 1 species
CCCUACGGGGGGCAGCAGUGAGGAAUAUUGGUCAAUGGCCGCAGGGCUGAACCAGCCAAGUCGCGUGAGGGAUGACGGUCCUAUGGAUUGUAAACCUCUUUUGUCAGGGAGCAAAGGGCGCCACGUGUGGCGCUUUGCGAGUACCUGAAGAAAAAGCAUCGGCUAACUCCGUGCCAGCAGCCGCGGUAAUACGGAGGGGGCAAGCGUUAUCCGGAUUUACUGGGUGUAAAGGGAGCGUAGACGGUUACGCAAGUCUGGAGUGAAAGGCGGGGGCCCAACCCCCGGACUGCUUUGGAAACCGUAUA